rnacentral:rRNA from 1 species
UAGGGAAUCUUCCACAAUGGACGCAAGUCUGAUGGAGCAACGCCGCGUGAGUGAAGAAGGGUUUCGGCUCGUAAAGCUCUGUUGUUAAAGAAGAACGUGGGUAAGAGUAACUGUUUACCCAGUGACGGUAUUUAACCAGAAAGCCACGGCUAAAUACGUGCCAGCAG